UAGGGAAUCUUCGGCAAUGGACGAAAGUCUGACCGAGCAACGCCGCGUGAGUGAAGAAGGUUUUCGGAUCGUAAAACUCUGUUGUUAGAGAAGAACAAGGACGUUAGUAACUGAACGUCCCCUGACGGUAUCUAACCAGAAAGCCACGGCUAACUACGUGCCAGCAGCCGCGGUAAUACGUAGGUGGCAAGCGUUGUCCGGAUUUAUUGGGCGUAAAGCGAGCGCAGGCGGUUUCUUAAGUCUGAUGUGAAAGCCCCCGGCUCAACCGGGGAGGGUCAUUGGAAACUGGGAGACUUGAGUGCAGAAGAGGAGAGUGGAAUUCCAUGUGUAGCGGUGAAUGCGUAGAUAUAUGGAGGAACACCAGUGGCGAAGGCGGCUCUCUGGUCUGUAACUGACGCUGAGGCUCGAAAGCGUGGGGAGCAAACAGG
rnacentral:rRNA from 1 species